rnacentral:misc_RNA from 1 species
GAAAUGCGAUAAGUAAUGUGAAUUGCAGAAUUCAGUGAAUCAUCGAAUCUUUGAACGCACAUUGCGCCCGCCAGUAUUCUGGCGGGCAUGCCUGUCCGAGCGUCAUUUCAACCAUCAAGCCCCCGGGCUUGUGUUGGGGACCUGCUGCUGCCCGCAGGCCCUGAAAACCAGUGGCGGGCUCGCUGUCACACCGAGCGUAGUAGCAAUCACCUCGCUCAGGGCGUGCUGCGGGCUCCGGCCGUUAAACAGCCUUACAAAACCCAAGGUUGACCUCGGAUCAGGUAGGAAGACCCGCUGAACUUAAGC